AGAGUUUGAUCCUGGCUCAGGACGAACGCUGGCGGCGCGCCUAACACAUGCAAGUCGAACGAGAGAUGAGGAGCUUGCUCUUCAAAUCGAGUGGCGAACGGGUGAGUAACGCGUGAGGAACCUGCCUCAAAGAGGGGGACAACAGUUGGAAACGACUGCUAAUACCGCAUAAGCCCACGGCUCGGCAUCGAGCAGAGGGAAAAGGAGCAAUCCGCUUUGAGAUGGCCUCGCGUCCGAUUAGCUAGUUGGUGAGGUAACGGCCCACCAAGGCGACGAUCGGUAGCCGGACUGAGAGGUUGAACGGCCACAUUGGGACUGAGACACGGCCCAGACUCCUACGGGAGGCAGCAGUGGGGAAUAUUGCACAAUGGGGGAAACCCUGAUGCAGCGACGCCGCGUGGAGGAAGAAGGUCUUCGGAUUGUAAACUCCUGUUGUUGAGGAAGAUAAUGACGGUACUCAACAAGGAAGUGACGGCUAACUACGUGCCAGCAGCCGCGGUAAAACGUAGGUCACAAGCGUUGUCCGGAAUUACUGGGUGUAAAGGGAGCGCAGGCGGGAGAACAAGUUGGAAGUGAAAUCCAUGGGCUCAACCCAUGAACUGCUUUCAAAACUGUUUUUCUUGAGUAGUGCAGAGGUAGGUGGAAUUCCCGGUGUAGCGGUGGAAUGCGUAGAUAUCGGGAGGAACACCAGUGGCGAAGGCGACCUACUGGGCACCAACUGACGCUGAGGCUCGAAAGCAUGGGUAGCAAACAGGAUUAGAUACCCUGGUAGUCCAUGCCGUAAACGAUGAUUACUAGGUGUUGGAGGAUUGACCCCUUCAGUGCCGCAGUUAACACAAUAAGUAAUCCACCUGGGGAGUACGACCGCAAGGUUGAAACUCAAAGGAAUUGACGGGGGCCCGCACAAGCAGUGGAGUAUGUGGUUUAAUUCGACGCAACGCGAAGAACCUUACCAAGUCUUGACAUCCUGCGACGCACAUAGAAAUAUGUGUUUCCUUCGGGACGCAGAGACAGGUGGUGCAUGGUUGUCGUCAGCUCGUGUCGUGAGAUGUUGGGUUAAGUCCCGCAACGAGCGCAACCC
rnacentral:rRNA from 1 species